GAUGAACGCUGGCGGCGUGCCUAAUACAUGCAAGUCGAGCGGACAGACGAGGAGCUUGCUCCUCUGACGUUAGCGGCGGGCGGGUGUGUAACGCGUGGAUAACCUACCUGUAAUUCUGGGAUAACUUCGGGACACCGGCGCUUAUACCAGAGAAUCUAUUGAACCGCGUGGGUCAAUGGAAAGAGACGGUUUUUCUGGCUCUUCUCGCUGGUUCCGCGCUGCAUUAGCUAGUUGGUAAGGUAACGGCUUACCAAGGCUACGAUGCGUAAACGACGUGAGAGGGUGAUCGGCCACACUGGAACUGAGACACGGUCCAGACGCCUAAGGGACGCAGCAGUAGGCAACCUUACGCAAUGGGCGAAAGUAUGACGGAGCAACGCGGCGUGAGUGACGAAGGCGUCCGGAGCGUAAAGCCCUGUUACUGGGGAAGAACAACUGUGGCAGUAAAUAUGCACGUAGUGACGGUACCUAAUCAAAAAGCAACGGCUAACUACGUG
rnacentral:rRNA from 1 species